UGCGCAUACGCUACUUUUAAAGAUUAAGCCAUGCACGUGAAAGUUCAUACAUAAAAAAUGUGAGACUGCGGACGGCUCAGUAUAUCAGUUAUAAUCUUCUCGAUUGUAAAGGUUAUUGGAUAACCGUGGGAAAUCUAGAGCUAAUACAUGCACCGGGACUGUGUUGGAUUGCCCUUCCAGUCUUGCAUUUAUUUGAAUAACGCCAAUCAUGUAAUGAUGUGGUGAAUCUAGAUAACUGGUAGAUCGUAUGGCCUUGAGCUGACGACAUUUCGAUUGAAUUUCUGCCCUAUCAACUAUUGUCGACAGUGUAGUGAACUGUCGAGGUAUUUACGGGUAACGGGGGAUCAGGGUUCGAUUCCGGAGAGGGAGCCUGAGAAACGGCUACCACAUCCAAGGAAGGCAGCAGGCGCGCAAAUUACCCAAUCCAGAUACUGGGAGGUGGUGACGAAAGGUACCAAGCAACAAUCAUUUGGUUGUUGGUUUGGAAUGAAAACAAUUUAAGGCAUUGAAUUGAGUAACGACUGGAGGGCAAGUCUGGUGCCAGCAGCCGCGGUAAUUCCAGCUCCAGUAGCGUAUCUCAAAGUUGCUGCGCUUAAAACGCUCGUAGUUGGAUCACAUACUAUGUGUUGGUGGAUCUGCAUGUUGGUGCCAUUGUGUCUCUUCAUUCGGGCAGCGUGUCCUCACGUUGCACUGGAGUUGAGUGGGUACAAUGUGUAGAUUGUGAGCCGAUGCAUAGUGAUUGCAUGUGAGGAUGAUGAUUGACCUUGAGUGUGUUGAUGAUCGUGUCUCACAGAGUGUGCCUUGAGUAAAUCAGAGUGCUUAAUGCAGGCGUGACGCUUGAAUGUUGAUAGCAUGGAACGAACAAUCGUGUAAAGUGUAUGCUGAGUAUAAGUGCAAGUGAUCUUGCACUUCAGCACACAACACCUACCACUAAUUACGGAUGUUGGUGCCGUAUUAGGGUACUGAUUAAGAGGAGCGGUUGGGGGCAUUGGUAUUUGGCAGCGAGAGGUGAAAUUCUUAGACCUGCCAAGGACUAACAAAUGCGAAGGCAUCUGUCCAGACCGUAUCCAUUAAUCAAGAACGAAAGAGUGAGGUUCGAAGACGAUCAGAUACCGUCGUAGUUCACUCUAUAAACUAUGCCGACUCGGGAUCAGUUUGGAUUUUUAUAUCCACGAUCGAGAUUGGUCCCCCUGGGAAACCUAAAGUUUUUCGGUUGCGGGGGGAGUAUGGUCGCAAGGCUGAAACUUAAAGGAAUUGACGGAAGGGCACCACCAGGGGUGGAGCCUGCGGCUUAAUUUGACUCAACACGGGAAAACUUACUUGGUCCGGACAUCAAUAGGAUAAACAGACUAAGAGAUCUUUUUUGAUAUGGUGAAGAGUGGUGCAUGGCCGUUCUUAGUUCGUGGAGUGAUCUGUCUGGUUGAUUCCGUAAACGAACGAGACCACAAUCUCCAUUUGACGAGUCGGAGAAGAUAGUGGCUGCAUGUUUUUGGCAACAUUAAUGUGCAUUGUCGUUAUUGCAGGUCUGUGCAGUCGAAUGUGCCAAGGUUAGUCCAACUAAUUCUUGGUAUUGUGAGGUUGCAUUCCCUCCGACCUAACAGUGCGUUUAUUUUCAAUAAAUGUAUUGUAUCAUGGAGAGACAACGGAAUAUAUUCUAAAAUUCGAGGAAGCGUGGCUAUAACAGGUCUGUGAUGCCCUUAGAUGUUCAAGGCUGCACGCGCGCUACAAUGGCAAUGACAACGAGUGUCUAGAUCGACAGAUUUGGGUAACCUUGUAAUCAUUGCCGUGAUGGGGAUCGACGUUUGUAAUUACGUCGUGAAAGAGGAAUCCCUAGUACGCGCGAUUCAUGAAAUCGCGUGGAUUGCGUCCCUGCCCUUUGUACACACCGCCCGUCGCUACUACCGAGUGAGUGGUGUCAUAAUGCCUUGUGAGCGGACGUCAUUUGAGUUUUUACUUGGAUGACGCUGCGAUCAGCGUAGAAUGGUGCAAUUUCGAGGAAGUAAAAGUCGUAACAAGGUUU
rnacentral:rRNA from 1 species